ACGAAUCACGGGAGUCCCGGGAGCACGGGGGCUGAGAGUGGGCGCGCCCGCCCUUACCGUCACACCUGAUCCGGAUCAUGCCGGCGAAGGGAGUAGAGGAUGCCGGAUU
rnacentral:ncRNA from 1 species